CCGAUAGGAGCCAGAUCCUGGACUGGGCACUUUGGCAUGACAGCCCUGCUUCCUGUGCCAGGCAGAUGGAAGGGACACUAACCCAUACGUGUCCAGGCUGACUGGGAAAUCCAAGAAUCUAAUAGUUGCUCAGUCCCUCAAGGCUAGUUGUUCCCGCUGGAAUCCUGAAGUGGUGGGAAUCCACAACAGGUGUGCUGGCAGAACAUUCAGUUGAACAGAUGAACAGAAGGAAUCCAACAUAAGGAAUUCAGCAAGGAAUAAAAAUUUGCUCUUUUUUUUCUGUUGUUGAGAAAUGGGUGAAAACAAAUUCAAUCGAUUUA